GUGCUCGCUUCAGCAGCACAUGUACUAAAAUUGGAACCAUACUGAGAAGAUUAGCAUGUCCCCUGCUCACAGAUUACACGUAAUUUUUUAACAACAACAAAAAGACCUU